rnacentral:rRNA from 1 species
UACGGAGGGGGCGAGCGUUAUUCGGAAUUAUUGGGCGUAAAGGGCGCGUAGGCGGCUGGGCAAGUCAAAGGUGAAAUCCCUCGGCUCAACUGAGGAACUGCCUUUGAAACUGCCUGGCUUGAGGCCGGGAGGGGUAGCGGAAUUCCCAGUGUAGCGGUGAAAUGCGUAGAUAUUGGGAGGAACACCAGUGGCGAAGGCGGCUACCUGGACCGGUUCUGACGCUGAUGCGCGAAGCGUGGUAGCAACAGG